rnacentral:rRNA from 1 species
GACGAACGCUGGCGGCGUGCUUAACACAUGCAAGUCGAACGGACCCUUUGGGGUUAGUGGCGAACGGGUGAGUAACACGUGGGUGAUCUGCCCUGCACUUUGGGAUAAGCCUGGGAAACUGGGUCUAAUACCGGAUAGGACUACGCACUGCAUGGUGUGUGGUGGAAAGCUUUUGCGGUGUGGGAUGGGCCCGCGGCCUAUCAGCUUGUUGGUGGGGUGAUGGCCUACCAAGGCGACGACGGGUAGCCGGCCUGAGAGGGUGACCGGCCACACUGGGACUGAGAUACGGCCCAGACUCCUACGGGAGGCAGCAGUGGGGAAUAUUGCACAAUGGGCGCAAGCCUGAUGCAGCGACGCCGCGUGGGGAUGACGGCCUUCGGGUUGUAAACCUCUUUCGCCAGGGACGAAGCGCAAGUGACGGUACCUGGAGAAGAAGGACCGGCCAACUACGUGCCAGCAGCCGCGGUAAUACGUAGGGUCCGAGCGUUGUCCGGAAUUACUGGGCGUAAAGAGCUCGUAGGUGGUUUGUCGCGUUGUUCGUGAAAACUCACAGCUUAACUGUGGGCGUGCGGGCGAUACGGGCAGACUGGAGUACUGCAGGGGAGACUGGAAUUCCUGGUGUAGCGGUGGAAUGCGCAGAUAUCAGGAGGAACACCGGUGGCGAAGGCGGGUCUCUGGGCAGUAACUGACGCUGAGGAGCGAAAGCGUGGGGAGCGAACAGGAUUAGAUACCCUGGUAGUCCACGCCGUAAACGGUGGGUACUAGGUGUGGGUCUCCUUCCUUGGGAUCCGUGCCGUAGCUAACGCAUUAAGUACCCCGCCUGGGGAGUACGGCCGCAAGGCUAAAACUCAAAGGAAUUGACGGGGGCCCGCACAAGCGGCGGAGCAUGUGGAUUAAUUCGAUGCAACGCGAAGAACCUUACCUGGGUUUGACAUGCACAGGACGCCGGCAGAGAUGUCGGUUCCCUUGUGGCCUGUGUGCAGGUGGUGCAUGGCUGUCGUCAGCUCGUGUCGUGAGAUGUUGGGUUAAGUCCCGCAACGAGCGCAACCCUUGUCUCAUGUUGCCAGCACGUUAUGGUGGGGACUCGUGAGAGACUGCCGGGGUCAACUCGGAGGAAGGUGGGGAUGACGUCAAGUCAUCAUGCCCCUUAUGUCCAGGGCUUCACACAUGCUACAAUGGCCGGUACAAAGGGCUGCGAUGCCGUGAGGUGGAGCGAAUCCUUUCAAAGCCGGUCUCAGUUCGGAUCGGGGUCUGCAACUCGACCCCGUGAAGUCGGAGUCGCUAGUAAUCGCAGAUCAGCAACGCUGCGGUGAAUACGUUCCCGGGCCU